UUUUAUUCAAAUAUGGUUAUACCUUUACUUCUAAUAAAGGUAUAGAAAUUUAUAGAAAUCGAUAUCUUAUUUAUAAUGGAUGGAUACUAAAUAAUCUCUAUUUUAUCAAACCAAAUGUGUACUUACUACUAAAAAUUGAAUUAGUGACUAAGAAACUCAAAGCUUCUUUUUAACACCCCUAACCUGUAUCCGUCACCGGAAUAGAGUUAUAGAGCAUUACCGUAAAAUCAUAAUUUAAAACAUUUAUUUCCA
rnacentral:lncRNA from 1 species